GGCCGACUAGCUCAGUUGGUUAGAGCGUCGUGCUAAUAUCCUGUGAUACAAUGUAUAUUACUAUUAACGCGAAGGUCUUGGGUUCGAUCCCCACGUUGGCCA